rnacentral:sRNA from 1 species
GGAUCAUUAUUGAAUAAACUUGAUGUGGUUGAGCUGACUCUUUCGGGAGUAUGUGCUCGCUCGUCAUCUUUAUCUUUCCACCUGUGCACUUUUUGUAGAUUUGGAUGUAACUGUCCGAGGCAACUCGGUUGGGAGGAAUGCUAUCUUUGAUGGCUUUCCUUGUAUGUCCAAGUCUAUGUCUUCAUAUACUCCAAGUAUGUAACAGAAUGUAUCACUGGGCCUUGUGCCUAUAAACUAUAUACAACUUUCAGCAACGGAUCUCUUGGCUCUCGCAUCGAUGAAGAACGCAGCGAAAUGCGAUAAGUAAUGUGAAUUGCAGAAUUCAGUGAAUCAUCGAAUCUUUGAACGCACCUUGCGCCCCUUGGUAUUCCGAGGGGCAUGCCUGUUUGAGUGUCAUUAAAUUCUCAACCUUACUAGCUUUUGCGAAGUAAUGGCUUGGACUUGGGGGUCUUUUGCUGGUUUCGAAAGAGAUCUGCUCCCCUUAAAUGUAUUAGCCGGUGCCCCGCGUGGACUGUCUAUUGGUGUGAUAAUUAUCUACGCCGUUAGAUGUCUGCUAUUAAAUGGGAUGUGCUGCUUCUAAUCGUCCUCAGGACAAUUAUUGACCAUUUGACCUCAAAUCAGGUAGGACUACCCGCUGAACUUAAGCAUAUCAAUAAGCGGAGGAAAAGAAACUAACAAGGAUUCCCCUAGUAACUGCGAGUGAAGCGGGAAAAGCUCAAAUUUAAAAGCUGGCAGUCUUUGAUUGUCCGCGUUGUAAUCUAGAGAAGUGUUACCCGCGUUGGACCGUGUACAAGUCUCCUGGAAUGGAGCGUCAUAGAGGGUGACAAUCCCGUCUUUGACACGGACUCCCAAGGCUUUGUGGUGCGCUCUCAAAGAGUCGCGUUGUUUGGGAAUGCAGCGCAAAAUGGGUGGUAAAUUCCAUCUAAAGCUAAAUAUUGGCGAGAGACCGAUAGCGAACAAGUACCGUGAGGGAAAGAUGAAAAGAACUUUGGAAAGAGAGUUAAACAGUACGUGAAAUUGCUGAAAGGGAAACGCUUGAAGUCAGUCGCGUCGUCCGGAGAUCAACCUUGCUUUUGCUGGGCGUACUCUCCGGUUGACGGGCCAGCAUCAGUUUUGACCAUUGGAAAAGGGCAGAGGGAAUGUGGCAUCUUCGGAUGUGUUAUAGCCUUCUGUCGUAUACAGUGGUUGGGACUGAGGAACUCAGCACGCCGCAAGGCGGGGAUUCGUCCACCUUCGUGCUUAGGAUGCUGGCAUAAUGGCUUUAAUCGACCCGUCUUGAAACACGG